ensembl:lncRNA
GUUUAAGUCCACACUGCACAGGUCCAUCUCUAGUGAAUACAAGCAGCCUGCCCAGACUCACACACGGCUCCAGGACCAGAGGUGAGUGCCAGUCCGAAGAGGGACAUCAAGGCCCAAGGAGCGAGGCCUCAUUCCGUUAAGUCAUGCCCAGCGCCCCAGCGACCUGGGAGUCGCCCAACCACAACACAGGACAUCCUUAAAGCUGGAUCUGUGGGGUCAGGACUCUGUGUGCCUGGGGGGUCGGGACUCCGUGUGCCUGGGGGGUCAGGACUCCGUGGUGUAAUGAGCGACCAGCCCUGGAAGCCCCUGACUCUGGCUGCGUUACGUCCAUCUGACUCCAGGUCUAAUUACGGCGCUGUGGAGAGGAUCCUGAAGAGCUACGAGAACACUGCCUGGAGCCAGCGGUACCAGAACCAUACCCAACCCACUGACCCCAGCCCUAACCCUGGUCUCAGCCCCAGCCCUAACCCUGGUCUCAGCCCCCGUCUCAGCCCCAGCCCUAACCCUGGUCCCAGCCCCAGACAGGAAGAGGAACUCAUGGAUCUUCUGGAGGAGAUGAUGGAUAAGGAUUACUGGGAUCAGUCAGGCCCUGCCUCUGGACACUCCUCCCACACACACUCUCACCACAGCCAGCUGACCAGCUCCCACAGAGAGACAAGGCUAACCAUGCAGGAGUGUAAAGUAUCAUCCAGCUCCUCAUCAGUCCAGAAGAAUUUCUCUCGUCCGGCCUGUCCAGCCAACCGCCGCCCCCCGUCACGCUGGGCUAGUUGUUCCCCCUCCACCUCUUCCUCCUCCUCCUCCUCCUCCUCCACCCCUAUAAACCAGCCCUCUUCCGGCUCCGCCCACAAACACACCUCAUUCUCCUACUCAGCCUAUCACACGGAGACAGUCAUCAUCUGACCCCUUAGCUGACCCUGUGUUUCAACCAAUAAGAUGCCUUUCGUUACUAUACGUACUCUGACAUUUCUUUUCUC